rnacentral:lncRNA from 1 species
UUCAUGUCUUCUUGCCCAUUUUUUGAUUGGAUUAUUUGUUCUUUGGGUGUUGAGUUGGGACAAGUGCUGUGUUUAAGAAUUGGAGUUCAGGUAAAUACCCAGUUGUGGCCCAGAUGAGGAGAACAGAAAUGGAGUAGCUGCAGUUGAAGAUUAGCCUUGGAUACAUUUUUCUGGUAAGUCUUGGGCUUCCCUGCCACUUUUAUACAUUAUUAAUAUAA